rnacentral:misc_RNA from 1 species
CGCUUCUCAGCCGUCCAUUCCAAUGAAAAGAAAAUAGCGAAUCGGAUUCGUCAUUUCCACUUCUAAAAGAAAGGCGGACGCUGUUUUGUACAUUCUCCGUUCUCACCUUUCUGGAAAAUCUCCUCAAACUUUCUUUCUACAAAUUUAACAACGGUCUUUAAGUUUUAGGGCUUAACACAUGGCGGAUGAGGAGACGAUCGCUAACGGCAUCGAAGGAGAGAAUGACGAUCAGACGGGUGAGAGCUUUUACGAUGUUGAUGAACGCGAGAACGAAGCCAAGCUGAAGCAAAAGAUCGAAGUCUUGGAGAAGGAGAAGUUCCUCCUAGCCAACGAAAACGGGAAAAUAAAAAAUCAGAUGAGGCAAUUAACGGUGGAGAUCGAUUCACUGAGAUCCGGAGAGUUAGAGCUGAAACUGAGGCUGGAAGCAGUGGGUAAAGAGAUGGAACAGUCGGAUGAGAGCAAGAGAGCGUUGGAUUCCAUUGCUAACAGAGCUGUGCAGCUCGAGACGGAGGUCUCUAGGCUUCAACAUGACUUGAUUACGUCGAUGAGCGAAGGUGAGGAGGCGAAUGCUGCAAUUUCUGAGCUGAAGAGUAUAUUGGGAGAAAAGGAAGUGAAGCUUGAGGAG